rnacentral:rRNA from 1 species
UACAGGGGGUGCAAACGUUGCUCGGAAUCAUUGGGCGUAAAGCGCACGUAGGCGGUUCGUUAUGUCGGAUGUGAAAGCCCUUGGCUUAACCGAGGAAGUGCAUCCGAAACUGGCGAGCUAGAGUACGAAAGAGGAUCGCGGAAUUCCCGGUGUAGAGGUGAAAUUCGUAGAUAUCGAGAGGAACACCGGUGGCGAAGGCGGCGAUCUGGACAGUGACUGACGCUGAGACGCGAAAGCGUGGGGAGCAAACAGG